UCGCAAGGCUCAGCGUUAUUCUAUGGGCCCCCUCUUGGGAAACUUUGAGGUAUGAACUCAUCAAAUUCGGAGAAAUCCUCUCUGUGAGAAAACAGAAAGACAAUUCCGAGCUAAAUUUUCUGAAUUUUUUCAGAAAUAAAAGUGUAGAGACUAGACGAUGAGCUCCUUAAUUUUGGUUUUUCAAAAAAGGAGAUGGUAUAGUCCAGACCACAAACCUAAAAGUAUUUGAAG
rnacentral:ncRNA from 1 species